GUGAGGAAUUUUGGACAAUGGGGGAAACCCUGAUCCAGCGACGCCGCGUGAAGGAUGAAGGUCUUCGGAUUGUAAACUUCUUUUGCUUGGGAAUAACCGCCCCGUAGAAAUACGGGGAAUGAAUGUACCAGGCGAAUAAGCCACGGCUAACUUCGUGCCAGCAGCCGCGGUAAUACGAAGGUGGCAAGCGUUACUCGGAAUUACUAGGCGUAAAGGGCAGGUAGGCGGUUUGGUGAGUCUGUUGUGAAAGCUCCUUGCUUAACGGGGAGAGGCCAACAGAUACUGCCAGGCUUGAGUGUAGGAGAGGGUACUGGAAUUCCCGGUGUAGCGGUGAAAUGCGCAGAGAUCGGGAGGAACACCAAUGGCGAAAGCAGGUACCUGGACUAUUACUGACGCUCAGCUGCGAAAGCUAGGGGAGCAAACAGGAUUAGAAACCCUGGUAGUCC
rnacentral:rRNA from 1 species